UAGCCCUAUAUUUUGAUUUAGGACUUGACCUUGCAACAACAGUUUGUUUCUUACUUUUCCUAGAAACCAAAUUACCACAAACCAAGAUACAGUACCCGUUGGUGGAUCUCUGAUCGAAAUGCGAUCCAGCCUAAUAUGCAUCUGUAUAUCCAUGGUUAUAAGUGUGACCCUAAUCACGAUAUAAAAGACCUCUCUUAGGUACCCCUUUGGAAUAUCUCAAGAUGCGAAUUACUACGUCUCAAUGACUUGUCCUCAGAGAAUCUAGAAAUUAACUCACAACAUUUGUUGCAAAAGAUAUAUCCGACCAAGUAACUGUGAGAUAAUUCAAAUUUCUAACAAGCAUAUGGUAUUGUCUAGGAUUAGAUAGCAAAUCAACCAUAUCCGGUAUUAACUUUCUGUUAGGAUCCAUGGGUGUAUCAACCGGUUUGGAUCUCAACAAGCUAGUUUCAUCUAAGAGAUAAGAACAUACUUCCUUUGUGACUUAACAGUUCUGAUAUGAGAUCUCGAUACUUCUAUACCCAAGAAGUAUUUCAACGGUCCCAAAUCUUUGGUCUGAAACUUAGUUUGUAGAAAAAGUUUGAGACUUUGAAUACCUUUAUCAUCAUCAUCUAGAAUAAUAAUAUCAUCCACAUAAACAACAAGAAGGAUCCUACCCAAUGAAGUAUGACGAUAAAACACGAAAUGAUCCACAACACAUCGUCGAAGACCAAACUCAAAUACUUCAACAUUGAAACGGCCAAACCAUGCUUUGGGAGACUGUUUCAAACUAUAUAAAGCCUUAUUGAGCCAAUACGCUAAGCUUGACUCUCCUUGAGCAACAAACCUAGGUGGUUUCUCCUCAUAAACCUCCUCCUCAAGGUCACUAUGGAAGAAGACAUUUUUUACGUCUAAUUGAUGCAAAGGCCAGUGACAAGUAGUAGCCAAGGAGAUGAAUAGACGUACUGAUGUAAAUUUGGCAAUCAAAGAAAAGUAUCAAAAUAAUCCAUACCAUACAUCUGAGUGUAUCCCUUAGCAACAAGAUGUGCCUUUAGACGAGCCACAUAACCAUCCGGGUUGACUUUCACAGUGUAAACCCAGCGACAACCAACCACAGGCUUGUUAUUAGGAAGAGGUACCAAGUCCCAAGUACCAUUGUCAUGUAAAACAUUCAUCUCUUCAACCAUAGCGCCCCUUCGUCCUGAAUGGGCUAACACUUUCGAAACAGAUUUAGGAAGGAUAGUAGAUGAUAGAGCAGUGACAAAACAAUAAUAGGAGGGUGAUAAGGAGUCAUAAGAAACAUAGUUGGAAAUGGGGUGUUGAGUACAUGUGCGUUUACCUUUCUGAACAGCAAUAGGAGAUCAACAUCAUGUGAAGUAUGAUCAUCAGACGAGGAAACCAAAGGCGUGGUAGUAGGAGCUAGAGGGGACUCUCUUCCUUGAAGUUGCCGUUGUGAAUACACCUACAAAUUAGAAUGAUUAAGGUGAUGAGGACUUGAACUACAUGGAGACUCAUAUGGUUGGUUGGGCAAGGACAUCAAUGUAGAAUUUGGAAGAUUAAGCUAAGGAAGAGACUCAUUGAGCUCAGAAGUGCUCAAUGAUUGGGUAUAGUAAGGUGUAGACUCAAAGAAGUUAAUAUCAACAGACACAAAGAAGCGAAGUAACACAUGACUAUAACAAUGAUAUCCCUUUUGAGUAUGCUAGUAGCCUAGAAAGACACAUUUUAUAGCACGAGGAUCCAACUUAUCGACCCGAGGAGUUAGUUGAUGAACAAAAGACAUACACCUAAAUAUACAAGGAGGAAGAGAAAAUAAAGGUGGAUUAGGAAAGAGAUGGAGUAGGGAGUUCUACCACUAAGAACAGAGGAUGACAUUUUAUUGGUCAGAUAACAAGCCGUAAGUACUACAUCACUCCAAAACACUUUAGAUACAUGCAUUUAAUAAAGUGCGUGUGAUUUCAAGAAAAUAUCUAUAUUUUCACUUUGCAAUCCUGUUUUGUUGAGGAGUGUGGGCAUAGGAUGAUUGAUGAACAAUACCAAACUAAGUCAUAUAAGUAGUGAAUUAUGCACUGAAAAACUAUUUAGCAUCAUCACUUCGAAGUAUUCGAACUGGCAAACCAAAUUGAGUCUUUAUUUUAGAACAAAAGACACAAAAUACAUGAAAUAGAUCAGAACGAUCUUUUAUUAAAUAUAACCAAGUCAUUCUUGAAUAAUCAUCCACUAAGGUUACAAAAUACCGGAAACCCAACUUGGACAUGACCCGACGAGGACCCCAUACAAUCUGAAUGAACUAACAGAAAGGGCUUGCAACCCGUUUAUUAACCUAGGAAGCGAAAUAAACACGAUGGUGCUUUCCCAAUUGACAAGACUCACAAUUGAGACUUGAAACAAAACUCAAACUAGGAAGAAGACUUUUUAACUUUCCAAUGAAGGAUGACCCAAGCAACAUGAAUUUGGAAAGGUGUGGCAGCAGUAAUGCAGGCAAUAGAAGGAGAUAGUGGCUCAAAGUGAUAGAGCCCAACAGCUUCACACCCUUCGCCCAUUGUCUUCCUCAUCUUCAAAUCCUGAAUAACCACAAAACUAGGGAAGAAUGUCACUGAACAAUUCUUGAGUUUGGUAAUUUUGCUAACAGACAUAAGAUUGAAAGGAAAUUUGGGAAUAUGUAACACUAAAGGAAGAGAAAUAAAAGAAGUGGGAUUUUUCAGUCCCAAUUCCCUUGACUGCAAUAGUGGAUCCAUUAGCAAGAGCAAGGUAAAUUAGCAAGAUAUUGAAUACUAGAAAAAAGCUAGGUAUACUUGUGAAAUGAUCAAUGGUAAUGGAGUCUGUGACCCAAGGACUAGGACGAGAAGUAUUGGAUGACAAACACACUGUGUGAUUACCUCUUUGGGCAAGAGAUGCAAUGGGAAGAGAAGCUUCUUGUGAUGUUUGAUAUUGUUGGAACUUGGAUUACUUUUCCUCUGACAUAGAGAUAGUACGUUGCCACCACUCGACCCCAAAGAUGAGGAGUCAGUGAUGGCUGCAUUGGUUGCCCCCAUAGGUGUGAAGUCAGUGGUGGUUGCAUUGCCAACACGUGAAGGUCUAUCGUGAAGAUCCCAACAUUGCUCAAUACGAUGAUUAUUUUGUCCACAAUGAGUGCACUUGCGAAGAGUUCCUCUGUCUCGUCCAUAUCUAACACUACGACUACUCAAACCACCGCAAUAACUUUUGCGGUUGUUUGGUAGAGAACUAGAAUCACUUUGUGUAGAAAAGGUUGUCCUCUUAGAGUUAGAUGCAAGAGCAGGAGAAUGCUGCUAAAGGAAGCAUGAAGGACUUGGGAAUAAACAUCAGCAAAUGAUGGUAGCUUGGCACUACUGAGUAUUUGGGACUGAACUAUCUCAAAAUCAGGUCUCAAGCCAACUAGAACAUGAAGAACUGUCAUUUGCUCCCUCUGCUUUGCAUCUCACGAAUGUCGACAGUUAUAGUUUGCACUACGUUAAGCUCCUCAUGAAUACGCUUCAUCUCUCCAAAAUAAUCUGCAAUGCUCCUAUCUCCUUAUUGUAACUGAAAGUACUCUUGGGAUAAAUCAUAGAUACGUGUAAUGUUACUGGAGUAUAGAAGUUUGACAUAAUCCCAAAUCUUCUUGCACGUAUCUAGAUGCAUAAACAUCCGUGCAAUUUGUGGUUCCAUCAAAUUCCAUAAAAGGGAAACAAUUAAGGCAUCUUCUUGAAUCCACACAUCUUUUCUCUUCUCAUUAGAAGAAUCAGAUUGGAACAAGUGGUCAGAUCUCCCUAAUCGUGCUAAAUGAAUCCGAACAGCUUUAGAUCAUUGAACAUAGUUCUUUCCAUCCAACUUUUUAGUUCUUAUUUGCGGCAGUGAUGUAGGAAACAAAUUUUUGGGAUUCAUAGAUUCCAUCCCAACACUCACAAAUCAACAAUCACACCAAAAACAAGAAGAAGAACAAUCAAAACUAAUCGGGAUAAUCACAAACCAUGUGAAGCACAGACACAACGACAGAUGAGGCUAACAACUCACCGAUGGAUAUAGCGCUGCCACAACACUGACAAAUCAGCAACCACACCAAAAACAAGAACAACAAUCAAUAAUUGGAACAAUUGCAAACCAUGUGAAGCACCGACGCAACCACGGACGAGGUGAACAACUCAUCAACAGAUAUAGCACUGCCACAGCCUCACAACUGAACAUAUGAACGCUGCCUUGACUCCAAAAAAGUCACAAAGAAGCCUUGACUAACCUUGAAUAGAAAUUAACGGAAUACCGUGAGUGCAUGGUUGAAAAAGAUUGAAUUUUUGAGCAAAAAAUUGGCCUAACAGCUUGAUAAUAUAGUCUAAAGAAGGAAUCGAAGCAUGAUAGAAGGGAAAAAAAAAAAAAAAAAGGGAAAAAGUGGCCAUAACUGCACUCAUGCGCCGGUGCGUGGAGGGCCCUCCGGCGAUGGGGUUUUGCGAGGUGGGUCGUCAGGGGGGGGGGGUCUGAUUAUGUGUAUAUGGUUGGUUUGCGAUUUAGUAUGGGUUGGAGGUGCAUUAGGGAAGAACAGCUGCAGGAAUGGUGUUUUCUGGCGACGGGUGAGGAAGGGUUUAGAUAGGAUCAUGCUUUGAUACCAUGUUAAUAUUUGAUUAAAAAUGAAGACCGAACUUGAAGAUAGGUAUCUCCCUCUAUUUAUAAUACAAAUUUAAAUAUAUUCUAAUGACAAUAAUAUCAUUACUAACUCUCACUAAUUAACAUACUAACACACUCAAUAACAAUAAUACUAAAAGACAUGUAACCUCUUAACACUUUCAAAGUUAAAAAUUCAUUAACUCUAGUUUUUAAAAGAAAUAAAAGUACUUCCAGAUCCUAACUAAAUAGCACAUAAUUCAAGCAUUUGAAAGUUUCUUAUUUUCAUUUUCAUCAUUCAUUCCAAGAUCCAAGCAAAGGCAUAGCUUCUUCCCCUUUUCCAGGCAAGUUCCAAUCAUCAACUAACUUUUAACAAUUAAGAGAAAGUAAGAUGCAUAUUUAAAACUUUCAUCUGGGUUGGGGAGAAAGAUCAUUUGGUUAGAUGGGAGAUGGUAUGCAUGUCAAAAAAGGAAGGUGGUUUGGGUCUUGGGAAAUUGGUGUCUAACAACAUUGUCUUAAUGAGUAAAUGGUUAUGGAGGUUUCCUUUGGACAACUCUCUUUGGCAUAAAGUAAUUAAAAAUAAAAUUGGCAUACAAGGAAAUGGUUGGGAUACUAAUGUUGGUUUUACAUCUUCUUUUGAGAGUCCUUGUAGAUAUAUCUCAGCUUUAUCUCCAUUUUAUUCCUAAGACCAAAUUUGGAGUGAGGAAUAGGAUGUGAAUUUGUUUUUGGGAAUAUCCUCUGCUGGAGGAUUUGGUUUUUACAUCAUUUCCUCAUUUUUAUCGUUUUUCUUUAUUAUAUAACUCGUUUGUUUCUUCUUUUUUCUUUCUAAUGGGGAGAACUUUUUGUGGGAUUUUCACUUUUGUAGACCUUUGAAUGAUAAGAGAGCUAGAGGAGCUUGCUUGAUUGCAUCUUUGUUCACUUUGUUAUAGGGUUGCUGUCCUUCUAAGUGGGAGGAUGUGAUGAAGUGGGUGUUGGAGUCUUUAGGAGAUUUUUCUUGCAAUUCUUUCUUUUGAGUUUCACCUGUGAGAGAACUUGUCCUUUUCUUUCUUUCUUAUUAUUAGGAAGGCCAAAAUUCCCUCUAAAAUUAAGGUUUCGUUUGGGUGGUGUUUCUUGAUAGAGUUGACACUAACAAUCUGUUGCAGAGUAGUAGGAGGCCUUCUAAGACAUUAUGAUGCAGAGGCAGCAUCAAGGAUCUGCAGCCAUGGGAGAGAUAAGAAGAAAUUGAAGAGAGGAAGGGGAAGAGAGGAGAGAGGAGAGAGGAGAUACAAGGGGGAAUCACACGUUCAACUCAAUUCAAAUUCAUCAACAAUUGCUUAUAACAUGGCUUUCACACACUAAUUAUGAAAAAGCCUCUUCACAUGAAAUCACACAUAAUCCCCUUAAACUGCAUUACAUUACAAACAUACACCUAGAAUACACAAAUGCUACAAACAAGCCCCCAAGUAUACAUAAUACUAUACUAAUUAAAUGAAACACAUAAUAAACUACUAAUUAUAUGCAACAAUCCUUGUCCCAGUUCUUUUGAAUUAUUGUCCAACAAGGAUCUACCCAUGGUCUUGUUUCUUGUCCUGCAUCACAUUAUCUCCGGAUGUGUGUUUUCUUUGCUUUGACUUGUUCUGUAUAUGUAUCUCAUUUGUUUGUGCAUUGUUCCUUUUCUUGGAGGAUUUGGAACACGUUAUUUGGUUUAAGUGGGGAAAGUUGGUUUUGUCCAGAGUCUCUGGAGGAUAUGUUGGCUGUUUCUUUUUUGGUUUUAAAGACGAGUAAAGACAAGGUUGCUCUUUGUAAUUGUGGUUUUUUUGCUAUGUUGUGGGAUAUUUGGAUGGAAAGGAACAAUUGCAUUUUUAAGGGGAAGAAGAUUUCUUGAGUUUUUGGUUUGGUACAAGAUUCAGUAUUUGUCUUCUUUUUGGGCUGUUGCUUCUGGUUGUUUCAUGGGAUCAUGUUUCGAAAGUGUUCAGCAUAACUGGUUUGCUAUUUUGUAUUAAUUGUUUUAUGUUUUCUAUUUUAGUUUUUUUUUUCCUUAUGUUUUUAUGGAGGAUUCCUUAUUCUCCCGUUCUGUACAUUCUUUCUCUAUUAAUAUAACUUUUCUUUUCCGAUCAGAAAAGAAAAAUAUUCAUCAUUUGGCAUUACAAUAUUUUCUGAACUAGUAUUCCAUGUAUUGUUUGAGCAAAUCUCCAAAUCUUGUAGCAUGAAAUGGUAAGCAAUCACCACAAGGGUGUCAAUAUUUCAGUUUUGUUUUAGUUUUUAUUUUAUUUUCCCUCCACCCUUGCGGAAGUUUUAUUGACUGAAGUGCUCAUUUUUGGUUAUUAGUUAGUGAGGAUAUAUUUGUUUUCUUGUUGAGUCUUGACCACAAUUUUGCAGUGACCUCUUUCGAUAUGAUUUAUAGAAAUUUGUUAAUAAAUUGCAACCACUAAGGCAACCUUGAGAGCUUGAAUUCUGAGUUUUCAUGCAGGUGUUGCAAUCUUUAGCUUUGUGAUUUUGUGAUAGCCUGAGGAUCCAACAAUUCUACUCAAUAAAUUGAUGGCAUUGCUUUGAGAUUGAUGGUGUUACCUAAAUCGGAAAAUUUAUUAUCAAGACGGCACUACAUUUGCGUACAAUUCAAAUAAAUUUGUCUCAAUUUUCUUUCUCUUAUUCUAUUUGACCAAUUUUUCUUGCUGAAUUAUCAUUCCCAUUUAUAUUUACUGGGGUAAGGCUGAUGGAUAUAGUAUUUUAUUUUUUGUUCUCUUCUGUUCAUAAGUUCCUAUUAUUGUAAUAAAUUUAUCAUCUGAAAUUCAGCUUGCCAGCUUGCUGUGAAGAAGUUUGCAUGUUAAAUUUUUUAUUUAUUCUUCAUUAUUAAAUGCAUAUAUGCAAUUUAGAUUAGAUUAUCAUCUAAGCUUCUGCUUUGUUAAUUUUAGUUCCUUCAUGGCUUAAUACUGCACUUUGAUGUGCAUCGUUUAUCUUUUAAUUGUUGAUGCUAUUUUAAAAUAAUUAACUAGUUCAGUUUUGUGGAGAGUAUUUUGAGAUUGAAGAUCCCUUGAUCUGUUUUUACUUCAUUGUUCUUCUGCAAGAGAUUGUACUCCAAUGUGCUGUACUGAAUAUUGUCCCUCUAGUGCUGAAGCACCUUCUAGCUGUGAAGCUAUAGCUGUUUUUCAGCAAAGAGAAAUAAGUUGUGAUUAGUGAGGAAUAAAAUAUUGUUUCAUCGCUUGUAAUAUGCUUUGCUAAAUUCUCAAGGCAUGAAUUUCUCUGUUGCUGACUACUGAGAUAGCAGCAAAACCUUGAGACUUGUAGUGAAGAAAAUCAAUGUAGGUACAAGUGUAGCUGCAGGGGAUGAACAGACGCUGAGGGUUUUUAAGAGGUGCUUGGACCAAGAGCUCUUUGCUUGUGGCGCUCAAGGAAGCAGAUAUUUAAGGGCUUGAUUAAAUCCCCAUGCAUUUAAGCAAGCAUAUUCAGUUUCUUGAAGAAACUUGUUUGUCAAAAGCUGCCAAUCCAUUCCAUUUCUAUCCUAGAAGCAAUAAUGAGCAGAGGCUAGGGGCAUGAAUUAUUUGCACCGCAGAAAUCCACCCAUGGUACACAGAGAUGUGAAAUCUGAUGAUGCCGUCAUGUUGUUUCUAUAAGAAUAAAAAUUUGGCAGCCAUGUGGGCAUAUGCGCUUUGAUUUUUUCCUUCCCAGGUCAGGGAUUUUGGCUUGUCAAGUUGAAGAAGGCAGCCUUUUGACCACAAAAUCUGGGAGAGGAACAGUAAGAACCAUCAUGCUUUUAAUUCAAUAUCUAUUAUAAUUUUUUUUCCUAAAAUUUUGAAUAAUCUUACUUUGAUGAAAGUAAUUCUUGAUAUGGAUUAACUGUGUCAUUGGUUUUAAUGUUUUAUUAUUGUGCAUAUAAUUAAUAAACUUUGUCAA